GGAAUUUUCGUAAUGCACAAUUCUUACUGCGCAUGCGUAUAAGUAGAAUAUAUACGUCCCACAAGCAUUAUAACAACUUUAGUAGGAUAUAUAUCGAGAAUGUGUUGAAAUGCACUUAGUUUGUAACAAAUUAAAAUGCUAGUAAUCAUUGGUCCACACUCUUUAAAUACAUUACAAGCGUGUGUAAUUGAUAUGAUAUGAACUUAUUCUGUGAUGACUUUAUGGGUGGUGCAAAGUGCACCACCCACGCUAGAACUUCCCUUUCCUAUACUACUUACAAUGAUGCCAUCUGUGUUGUUAUCAGAUCUUGUUGACCUCCUUGUUUUCUUUACUUUUGGUACAAUGUUUUUGUCUACGUACGUAAUAUCGGUUGUUAUUUUAAACAAUUGUACCAUGUCCAAGUACUCUUGCUAAUAAGUCAAUGGAAUUAAAUUUGUUCGUAGAAGUUGUUCUUUGUAUGUGUCACUGGAGCGAUAUGGUAGUCCGAGUAUGUAUUUUGUUGGCGUUGCUCGUCGUUGAAUUCGCUCAAUGUUCUUGAUGUUGUCCACUGUUUGAGGGGCCCAGACCGGCGAGGAAUAUGCGAGAUGUGCACGAACGAUAGUGAAAUAGAUUGUUCGCUUCGUGACUAUACUUUUGAUGCUGUUUGUUGUUCUUUUUACAUAGCCCACGAUCUUGUUGGCUUUCGCACUCUGGGUUUGUACUUGUUUCUUCCAUGUCAAGUCAGUUGAAAUCCAAACUCCAAGGUCCCCUUCGUGACUACAGUGUUCUAAUUGUAAGUCGCCCAUCGAGUAGUAGGAGGUCUCGAUUAACUUAGAGCGUUUUCGUGAUAUUGUUUCAACCUUGCAUUUCAUUGGGUUAAAUGCAAGGUUGGUGGAUGUCGACCACUGUGUUAAGGUGUUUAAGUCCUCUUGUAGCUUUUUGCUAUCAGUCUUACUCGCGAUAGGCUUGAAAAUUUUCGUAUCAUCAGCAAAGGUAGCAAUUGUUGAUGAAGAUACUGCGUCAGGUAGAUCAUUGACGUACAGAAGAAAAAGGAUAGGACCGAGGAUAGACCCCUGAGUUACACCUGAUGUUAUUAGUAAAGAGGAGGAUGUUGAUCCAAGGACGGUGACUUGCUGGCAUGGUGGAGGUAUGAUUGGAACCAAUUGAGUAAGUUGUUAUUGAAUCCAAAGCGACGAAGUUUAUU